rnacentral:rRNA from 1 species
GCAUGAUCCUUUAUUAAUAGAUUUAUCGCUACCGGAUUGGCUCGCGUACCAUUAGCUAGUUGGCGGGGUAACGGCCCACCAAGGCGACGAUGGUUAGGGGUUCUGAGAGGAAGGUCCCCCACAUUGGAACUGAGACACGGUCCAGACUCCUACGGGAGGCAGCAGUGAGGAAUAUUGGACAAUGGCCGAGAGGCUGAUCCAGCCAUGCCGCGUGCGGGAAGACGGCCCUAUGGGUUGUAAACCGCUUUUGUUGGGGAGCAAUAAGGAUCACGUGUGGUCCGACGAGAGUACCCAGCGAAUAAGCAUCGGCUAACUCCGUGCCAGCAGCCGCGGUAAUACGGAGGAUGCAAGCGUUAUCCGGAUUUAUUGGGUUUAAAGGGUGCGUAGGCGGAUGCCUAAGCGUGAGGUGAAAUCCCCGGGCUCAACCUGGGAACUGCCUCGCGAACUGGGUAUCUGGAAUGCCCCUGCCGUGGGAGGAAUGUGUGGUGUAGCGGUGAAAUGCAUAGAGAUCACACAGAACACCGAUUGCGAAGGCAUCUCACGAAGGGGUGAUUGACGCUGAGGCACGAAAGCGUGGGGA